rnacentral:tRNA from 1 species
GCGGGUGUGGCGGAAUUGGCAGACGCGUAUGGUUCAGGUCCAUAUGAAGGCAACUUCCUGGGGGUUCAAGUCCCUUCACCCGCACCA